AACUGCUACUAAAGCUAGAAAAAGCAUUAUAAUAGCUCUAUUAAGAUUAAGAAAUGUCUUUUGACUCUACUUCUUGUUCGUCACAGUAGCCGUUUUAGCAGGUGUGCAAUAGCCAACUGCUAUUAAUUUAUCCACGUUAGCAGGGCUCAAAGCAGACUAUUAGCUUCAGUAACCGUUUUCUUUAUAGUUAUGAAACUAGGCAACUUUUAAAAAAUGAAUUAGCUGUCGUAAUUAGUAGCUUUGUCUUGUUUUUUUUAUGUUUUUCAUCUAUUCAAUGACUGUUAGCUGCAUUUAGCAGGGGGUGAAGUCAAGCUAAUCGUUGUGAGCCAUUUUAGCCUAGUAUGGUUUUGGUUGGCCGAUGCUGCUAAAUAGCAGCUGCUCUCAGUCUGAGUCAUCGUGCGUUCACGCUGGAAUGUCAAAGCCUCCUUUUGCCUGGAUGUGACUCAACAGCCAGGACAUUUCUGGAAGCUUCCGAGACUGACGCAGCUGCCCUACAUUACCGUCAUCUGCAAGCCAUUACCCAGAAAGCUUUGCUGCCGCGGCCAGCCAGGAGGGCCUGCCCUCGCCAAGUCUGGUGAUGCACUUCCUGUGUCUUCGUCAUUCACAUUCAAAGAAUAACCUUAUUAUAAUAUCAGAUGUGUGUCAUGAGCACAAAGAGCUUUUGACCCAAGUCAUUUGUGCACAAAGGCUGCCGGAUACCGUCUGUAAGUCCUAUGAAAGGCAAUGGAACAAAAACAAGAUUAGAAAAUGAAACACACGCACACAAGAUAUGUAAAGCAUAAUUUGGUCAGAAAAUGUUAUGAGCGUUCGAAAGUCGAGCCCCCACUGAAUGCCAUAGCCAAAAGCAGCAAUGGCUGAGCAUGGCACCGUCAUAGACAAAGCUACAAAGCUAUUGUUACCUCUGAGGGGGCUACAUGAAAGAAAUGCACACUAAUAAGAAUAAUAGUAGGAUGACUGCUACGCUUUUUCUUUAUUUCUCACAGUUAGACUUGACUUGAAACAUCAGGGGAAACCAAUGUGAUGUCAGAGGGGGAAUUUGAAACCUCUCUGGAGGCUUUUUUGAUUUCCCCCCUCGCUUUUGACAUGCAGAGUGGUGCUCCCCCUGUUUUGCAUGAACCCAGUGACACGGACAAGUAGGAAAAGGUUCAUUGUGUUUCCAUCAUUAAAGAACCGAAAGACAACAGAAUCAAAGAGACCAGGCUCAUGUCGUCUCAAGCUUUAUCCCCAAGACAGAUGACAAAUGUGACUACAGCCCUUCCAUUUCAGCGUUAUUAUAUCUUGUGAAGAGUACUUUAGAGUAGUCAGCGUACAGCUUGUAUAGCAGUAUAGAUUUACUAUGCACUGAAAAUGAAUCAACAGCUAGCAACACAAGUGAGUAGCAAGAUAAUGAUGUAUUGUCUACAGUCAAGCAUGGUGGCCCGGGGCUGCACGAGUGCUGCUGGCACCGGGGGGGUUGCGGUUCAUUGAGAGGAACAUGAAUUCCAACAUGUACUGUGACGCCGUGAACCAGAAACUCAGUUUCCAAAUUGAGAACAAGCGCAAACACACCUCCAAGGUCACAAGUGAGCAAGCUGAAGGUGAUGGAGUGGCCAAGUAUGUCUACUCCACACCUGAACCCAUUUGAGCACAGGUGGCAGAAGGAAGGCAGAGUAGUUCAAGGUGUCUCACAUCCACCAUCUCCAAAGUGAAAAAGGAUUCCAGUCACAACCUGUGAAGCUCUGGCAAAGUCCAUGCCCAAGAGGAUUAAGGCAGUGCCAGAUAACAGUGGUGCUCACACUAAAUAUUUGUACCAAGGACAGAAUUUGGACAUGUUCACUGUGAGUUGUGCUCACUUUUAUUGCCAGCUAUUUCGACAAUAAUGGCUGUGUUGACUCAUUUCAGUGGAUAGUAAAUCUAAAGCUGUACACUGACUACUCAAAAGUAUAAUCCAAGUUUACUUUCUUUGGACUUGUCACUUGACAAGAUAUAAAAUGCUUGCUGAAAUGUUAGGCUGGUUAGAUAAUGACUUUACAUUGUAGAUUCAUUCAGCCUUUCCACAGAUAAUCUAACAGUUUCAAGUGGUGUUACGUCAGCAUGGGAUCACACUCGAGAGGCGGCGGCAGACUCUGUGGAGUCUCCCUCUCGUCACAAUGACACCAGGAAAGACGACAAAGGCGUGCCUCCUCUCGCAUGCUAAAGAGGCUUUGUCUCAGUAAGGAAGUCCAGACUUCCCGACCCCGGCCACCUCUUCCAGUAACACCAGGAGGACACCGAGGCGUUCCCAGGGCAGCUGUGAGACAUGUACAUGCCAGGAACACCUCACCAGGGAGGCGUACAAUGGGCACCUCCGUAGAGUGGCUGGACUUGAGGUCAAAGGUCUUUGAAGGAUCCACUUCCAGGAAACAAUAGCGUCUUGUCCUCGCUCUGUGAGUGUCCACCUUUGACCUCCAACACCUCCUGGUGAGUCACAGUUUGGCCUGCUGACUUAAAUGCAUCAUUGCUGCCGUAAUUUUCCGUGUUGGCGUCAUGCGUUAAAUGCAACUGGCUUCUCAACCUAAGGCAGCCAAUCAGGAGGCAUUCCAUUCUUACUUCAGUGGAAGUUUCACAAAGACAAUGUCUUAGCUGAUGCUUAAGAUCAUUUUUCAUUAAAACUGGAUAAAAGCUUUUUGGGCUGUUUGUUGCCAUUUGUCUACUGGCUGCUCUCAUCUUAGCUGACA